CACAGCCUUCUUUGAUCAUAUUUUCCAAGGGUGCCCAUAUUUUUGACCAUGACUGUAUAUGAAAUUGAACAUUAACCAGUCCGAUUGGGCUGUUGGACCAAAAAAGUUAAUUUCCCACCCUGCUUGAAUGUCAUGCUUUACUGUUUGCAUCAUUGACAGUUAACUACAAGUAGAGACUUCUCACUCUGCUCUCUCCAUAUAAACCUGUUGGGUGGACAGAAGCAGUGGUGGAUGAAUUUGUGCUUGCACUCGUGUGCAAGGAUGGCAUUCAAGGAAGCAUCCGGCGAUGGAACUACUUUGCAUCUGAACAGCUGCUGAUUUAUGAGAAAUUCCGCUGGUGCCACGAUGUAAAGCGCUUUCACAAGAGCAACAACUUGCAUCAUGUGAGUCUCUAUCGCUGUGAUUUGCAUUGCUUUACAUGGUCUGUUUGAUGGUCUGUAACAAAUUACAAAUGCUCUUAAUUCUUCUUUUCAUAGAAUUGUGGUGGACCUCAAAGAAGAAGUGUGGUAUCAGAGAUGCCAUGACCCUGAGUGCAGGAGACUACAGAUCCUCCAGCUUCCCACUGCCUCAAGAGGUCAGUCAGGAUUCAUAUGUGUGUGCUGACAUGUGCGCCUUUCUUUACUUGAGGAUGAAGAGGACCAGGCAUAUAUAACGGAUGAAUGGGGAACAGAUGACCCUGCUAAUCUGUUAGCUCUGCAGGAAGUAGAAAGAGGUACCUGAUGAAGGUCUGGUCCAGGCAGUGACUGAGUGUGAAUGAAAGUCUCCGGAGGGAGGGAUGUCAUGUGAAUGUCAUUAUAAACCGACUACACUGCAACACCUGAAGUACCUUCUUUAUUUCUAUGUAUUAAUUAAACUGUAAAAUAUGUGCUUAAAUUCUGUUUCCCAACAAACUGUAUUUUCUAAAUGUCUUUAUUUGCAUGAAGUCUUUUAGAUUACUUGGCUUGGGAUAAUUUAUUCAUUUUAUUUUUGUAAAUGGACUAUUAG